rnacentral:rRNA from 1 species
GACGAACGCUGGCGGCGUGCUUAACACAUGCAAGUCGAACGAUGAAGCUGGAGCUUGCUCUGGUGGAUUAGUGGCGAACGGGUGAGUAACACGUGAGUAACCUGCCCUUGACUCUGGGAUAAGCGCUGGAAACGGCGUCUAAUACCGGAUACGAGCUUCCACCGCAUGGUGAGUUGCUGGAAAGAAUUUCGGUCAAGGAUGGACUCGCGGCCUAUCAGCUUGUUGGUGAGGUAACGGCUCACCAAGGCGACGACGGGUAGCCGGCCUGAGAGGGUGACCGGCCACACGGGGACUGAGACACGGCCCAGACUCCUACGGGAGGCAGCAGUGGGGAAUAUUGCACAAUGGGCGCAAGCCUGAUGCAGCAACGCCGCGUGAGGGACGAAGGCCUUCGGGUCGUAAACCUCUUUUAGCAGGGAAGAAGCGAAAGUGACGGUACCUGCAGAAAAAGCACCGGCUAACUACGUGCCAGCCGCCGCCGUAACAC